UGGGUUUGACAUGGGCGGUAAUCCCACAGAGAUGUGGGGUCCUUCGGGGCCGUUCACAGGUGGUGCAUGGCUGUCGUCAGCUCGUGUCGUGAGAUGUUGGGUUAAGUCCCGCAACGAGCGCAACCCUCGUUCGAUGUUGCCAGCGGGUUAUGCCGGGGACUCAUCGAAGACUGCCGGGGUCAACUCGGAGGAAGGUGGGGAUGACGUUAGUCAGUCAA
rnacentral:misc_RNA from 1 species